GAAGAGGAGAGGCCAUAACUUCCUUUCAGCAGCCACCGCUCUUCCAUCCAUCAUCCGAAAACUUCUACUUAGGUUAGAGGAGGAACUGAAGCCUUCCCCUUUCUCUCUUCGGGUUAGAAGAGAGGAAGCUCCACUCCUACUUCCGGAAGAGGAAAGCUUUAUACCUACCACCGACAACCCCCAUUCCCUCUCCACUUCCGGUUAGAAGUGGAGAGUUCAUUUCCUCCACUCCGGCAGCCCUUCAUCGUCUCCAAACAGCUUGCUCCACUCUGGCAGCCCUCCAUAUUCCAUCUUCUGGUUAGAAGAGGGGAAGAGGUCACUUCUAGACAACCACUACAUCUGAAGGGACCACUAGGAAAAACACCAAAUUACCCAUUUCAACUGAUGCUCAAUUGAGAACAAUGCGAAAGGGAUCUGACGACCAUCUUGUUCUAAACAUCGAGUCUGGGUCUGAUCAUUCAAUUA